GACGAACGCUGGCGGCGUGCCUAAUACAUGCAAGUCGAACGCAGUGGGGACGGGUGAGUAACACGUGGGUAACCUCCCAUCAGAGGGGAUAACACUUGGAAACAGGUGCUAAACCGAUACUGAUGGAUGGACCGGCGGUGCAUUAGCUAGUUGGUGAGGUCACGGCUCACCAAGGCCACGAUGCAUAGCAGACCUGAGAAGGUAAACGGCCACACUGGUACUGAGACGCGGCCCAGAGUCAUACGGGAGGCAGCAGUAGGGGAUCUUCGGCAAUGGACGAGAGUCUGACCGAGCAACGCCGCGUGAGUGAAGAAUGUUUUCGGAUUGUAAACUUCUUUAGACAGAGACGCGGUACCUAUAGAAUAAGCCACGGCUAACUACGUGCCAGCAGCCGCGGUAAUAC
rnacentral:rRNA from 1 species